UCCUCGGAUGCUCAGCUGAAAAGCAUUGUUUGCUGCCUUCUCUUUCACCAGGAAAAUCUGCUGAUUGAUGAGGAACAUAAUUUGAAGCUGAUAGACUUCGGACUCUGUGCAAAGCCAAAGGGAGGUCUUGAUUACCAUCUGAACACCUGCUGUGGAAGCCCAGCUUAUGCAGCACCAGAGCUAAUUCAGGGCAAAGCAUAUAUUGGAUCAGAGGCAGAUAUUUGGAGCAUGGGUGUACUGCUGUAUGCUCUGCUGUGUGGCUUUCUCCCUUUUGAUGAUGACAACGUCAUGGCAGUCUACAGGAGGAUAAUGGUAGGUAUUGAUUGUGCUAGGAGGGACAUGGCUGAGUG